GAUGAACGCUGGCGGCGUGCUUAACACAUGCAAGUCGAACGGAAAGGCGCUGAUCUUGUGGGGUUCUCGAGUGGCGAACGGGUGAGUAACACGUGAGUAACAUGCCCUUGACUGUGGGAUAACAUCAGGAAACUGGGGCUAUUACCCGAUAGGAUCUACUGCUGCAUGUUGGGGGAUGGAAAGUUUCGGCGGUUGGGGAUUGAGUCGCGGGUUCUCAGCGUGUUGGUGGGGUAGUGGCGGUCCAAGGCUUUGACGGCUAGGCGGCCUGAGAGGGUGACCGGGCACAUUGCGACUGAGAUACGGCGCAGAAUCGUACGGGACGCAGCAGUGGGGAACAUUGCACAAUAGGCGGAAGCCGGGUGCAGCAACGCCGCGUGCGGGAUGACGGCCUUCGGGUUGUAAACCGAUUUCGCAUGUGACGAAGACUGAGUGACGGUACUGGGUAAAGAAGCACCGGCUAACUACGUG
rnacentral:rRNA from 1 species